GCUGGGGUAGUUCAGUUGGUUAGAACGCCUGAUUGUGGAUCAGGAGGUCGGCGGUUCAAGUCCGCCCCCCAGUA
rnacentral:tRNA from 1 species